GCCGAAGUAGCUCAGCUGGUCAGAGCACCGCUCUUGUAAAGCGGGGGUCAAGGGUUCGAAUCCCUUCUUCGGCU
rnacentral:tRNA from 1 species